UUCGUUCUUCUUCUUCUUCUUCUUCUUCUCUGGUUUUCUACUUCUCCUCUCUGUCGAUUUCAAUCUCAGAGAUUUGAGAUUCUUCAUGUUCGAGAAAUUAUCGUAUACCUAGUUAGCUUGAUGAUAUGAGGAAGGAGGUGAUGUUACUGUAGCCGAUUGGGUUCUGGAAACAACAGAAAUUUGGCGAUCGAUUCAAAGAGUGAACCAGUGGAUUAUGGAUCUCAAGGUAGGCGAGGUUUGUCAUCAAAAGAGUUUCAGUAAUCAGAAGAAAUGGUGCACGUGAAGAUGUCCGUUUUGUAGCGUAAGGUUUUUAGCGAUCGGAGACGUUUAUUUAUCUUUUAUAUAUGUACUCUUUCUCUGUAAAUAACACAUUAUUAUAUAUAUCACUCGAGAUAUU